UAGGGAAUCUUCCGCAAUGGACGAAAGUCUGACGGAGCAACGCCGCGUGAGUGAAGAAGGCUUUCGGUUCGUAAAACUCUGUUGUUAGGGAAGAAAAAAUGUAUAGUAACUAUAUACAAAAGAGACGGUACCUAACCAGAAAGCCACGGCUAACUACGUGCCAGCAGCCGCGGUAAUACGUAGGUGGCAAGCGUUGUCCGGAAUUAUUGGGCGUAAAGCGCGCAGGUGGUUUAGAAAGUCUGAUGUGAAAGCCCACGGCUCAACCGUGGAGGGUCAUUGGAAACUAAUAAACUUGAGUGCAGGAGAGAAAAGUGGAAUUCCUAGUGUAGCGGUGAAAUGCGUAGAGAUUAGGAGGAACACCGGUGGCGAAAGCGGCUUUUUGGCCUGCAACUGACACUGAGGCGCGAAAGCGUGGGGAGCAAACAGG
rnacentral:rRNA from 1 species